AUGAACGCUAGCUACAGGCUUAACACAUGCAAGUCGAGGGGAAACGGCAUCGAAAGCUUGCUUUUGAUGGGCGUCGACCGGCGCACGGGUGAGUAACGCGUAUCCAACCUGCCCAUCACUUGGGAAUAACCUUGCGAAAGUAAGACUAAUGCCCAAUGACAUCCCACGAAGGCAUCCGAAUGGGAUUAAAGAUUUAUCGGUGAUGGAUGGGGAUGCGUCUGAUUAGCUUGUUGGCGGGGUGACGGCCCACCAAGGCAACGAUCAGUAGGGGUUCUGAGAGGAAGGUCCCCCACAUUGGAACUGAGACACGGUCCAAACUCCUACGGGAGGCAGCAGUGAGGAAUAUUGGUCAAUGGGCGAGAGCCUGAACCAGCCAAGUAGCGUGCAGGAGGACGGCCCUAUGGGUUGUAAACUGCUUUUAUAAGGGAAUAAAGUGGGUCACGUGUGACUUUUUGCAUGUACCUUAUGAAUAAGGACCGGCUAAUUCCGUG
rnacentral:rRNA from 1 species